rnacentral:rRNA from 1 species
AUUGAACGCUGGCGGCAGGCCUAACACAUGCAAGUCGAACGAGCGGCGGACGGGUGAGUAAUGUAUGGGGAACUGCCCGAUAGAGGGGGAUAACUACUGGCAACGGUAGCUAAUACCGCAUACUAUCGGAUGUACCCAGAUGGGAUUAGCUCGUAGGUGGGGUAAAGGCUCACCUAGGCGACGAUACCUAGCUGGUCUGAGAGGAUGAGCAGCCACACUGGGACUGAGACACGGUCCAGACUCUUACGGGAGGCAGCAGUGGGGAAUAUUGCACAAUGGGCGCAAGCCUGAUGCAGCCAUGCCGCGUGUAUGAAGAAGGCCUUCGGGUGGUAAAGUACUUUCAGCGGGGAGGCGUUACCCGCAGAAGAAGCACCGGCUAACUCCGUGCCAGCAGCCGCGGUAAUAC